rnacentral:rRNA from 1 species
GAUGAACGCUGGCGGCGUGCCUAAUACAUGCAAGUCGAGCGAACAGAUGAGGAGCUUGCUCCUCUGACGUUAGCGGCGGACGGGUGAGUAACACGUGGAUAACCUACCUAUAAGACUGGGAUAACUUCGGGAAACCGGAGCUAAUACCGGAUAAUAUAUUGAACCGCAUGGUUCAAUAGUGAAAGACGGUUUUGCUGUCACUUCUCGAUGGAUCCGCGCCGCAUUAGCUAGUUGGUAAGGUAACGGCUUACCAAGGCAACGAUGCGUAGCCGACCUGAGAGGGUGAUCGGCCACACUGGAACUGAGACACGGUCCAGACUCCUACGGGAGGCAGCAGUAGGGAAUCUUCCGCAAUGGGCGAAAGCCUGACGGAGCAACGCCGCGUGAGUGAUGAAGGUCUUCGGAUCGUAAAACUCUGUUAUUAGGGAAGAACAAAUGUGUAAGUAACUAUGCAGGUCGUGACGGUACCUAAUCAGAAAGCCACGGCUAACUACGUG